rnacentral:lncRNA from 10 species
UAUAGCCCAGGAGAAAAACUUUGCAAGUCACAUAUGUCACAAGACUUUGCAGAAUAUAUAAAUGGCAAAUAAAACACAAAAAGAUGUUCAAUAUCAUUAAGCAUUAGAGACUUGUAAACAAACCAAAUAAGUAUAUUUUUUGGCCUGACUAUUUUUGCCUCAGAUUUGAGAGUCCCUCCUAUGAUGUUUAUCUGGUUGUUUGUCUUUUUCAUUGCCCAGUAAUAUUUCAUUGUAUGGAUGUAGUAUCGUUGAUUCUCCUGUUAAUUGGCAUUUGGGUUGUUCAAAGUUUUGGGCUUUUCUGAAUAAUCUUGAAAGUACUUGAGAGGCUGUAAAAAAGAGGUUCUGAUAUUCCUGGCAAAACUUUCUGCUGGGAAGAGGAAUAGAUCCUGAAGCUUCAGAUUUUACUGGCGAUAAUGAAAGAGCAUCUUUGAAAGUGUGUAGCAUGCGGCAGACAUUCAAUAAAUGUUAGUGGAGUCUCACUUUGGC